rnacentral:lncRNA from 1 species
CUUCAUUUGGUCCGAUUAUCCUCUUGGGCUUUCUUCCCUUGGGCCGUGGAGCUCGCGUCAAUGCUUCACUGCAACACUUCUUCUUUUGCGCUUGAGGAACCCUAGCUCGAGGGUUGAGAGAAUUUAGGGAAAGAAACUUCAAUUGAUUUUACUCCUUUUUGCACAAAUGACAAGGACUCAGCAGCUCUGCCCUAUUUUCGUAGCAUGAAACGCUACGUUUCAUUUUCUCAGCAUAAAGGCUUCAGUCCAACUCCAGCCCAUAUUAAAUCAACGUUUGCCCAUGUUAUUUCAACACCAACAGAGUCUUCUUUUCUA